rnacentral:tRNA from 1 species
GCGGAAGUGUCGGAACUGGCAGACGAGCAAGACUAAGGAUCUUGUGGCUAUUGCAGUCGUGUGGGUUCAAGUCCCAUCUUCCGCACGA